GACGAACGCUGGCGGCGUGCCUAAUACAUGCAAGUCGACCUUAGUGGCGAACGGGUGAGUACCACGGGGGUAACCUGCCCAUCAGAAGGGGAUAACACUUGGAAACAGGUGCUAAUACCGUAUACUGAUGGAUGGACCCGCGGUGCAUUAGCUAGUUGGUGAGGUAACGGCUCACCAAGGCCACGAUGCAUCGCCGACCUGAGAGGGUGAUCGGCCACAUUGGGAUUGAGACACGGCCCAAACGCCUACGGGAGGCAGCAGUAGGGAAUCGUCGGCAAUGGACGAAAGUCUGACCGAGCAACGCCGCGUGAGUGAAGAAGGUUUUCGGAUCGUAAAACUCUGUUGUUAGAGAAGCGGUAUCUAACCAGAAAGCCACGGCUAACUACGUGCCAGCAGCCGCGGUAAUUC
rnacentral:rRNA from 1 species